rnacentral:rRNA from 1 species
GAUGAACGCUAGCGGCAGGCUUAACACAUGCAAGUCGAGGGGUAGAAGGAGCUUGCUCCUUUGAGACCGGCGCACGGGUGCGUAACGCGUAUGCAAUCUACCUUUUGCAGAGGAUAGCCCAGAGAAAUUUGGAUUAAUACCUCAUGGUAUGUGAGGAUGGCAUCAUUUUCACAUUAAAGUCACAACGGCAAAAGAUGAGCAUGCGUCCCAUUAGCUAGUUGGUAAGGUAACGGCUUACCAAGGCUACGAUGGGUAGGGUCCUGAGAGGGAGAUCCCCCANACUGGUACUGAGACACGGACCAGACUCCUACGGGAGCAGCAGUGAGGAAUAUGGACAAUGGGCGCAAGCCUGAUCCAGCCAUGCCGCGUGCAGGAU